AGGAAUCCCGGCGUGGACAGCGCGAGGAGAAAGAUGGCGGCGAUGGCGGUCGGGGGUGCUGGUGGGAGCCGCGUGUCCAGCGGGAGGGACCUGAAUUGCGUCCCCGAAAUAGCUGACACACUAGGGGCUGUGGCCAAGCAGGGGUUUGAUUUCCUCUGCAUGCCUGUCUUCCAUCCGCGUUUCAAGAGGGAGUUCAUUCAGGAACCUGCUAAGAAUCGGCCCGGUCCCCAGACACGAUCAGACCUACUGCUGUCAGGAAGGGGUAGGGACCAUCCCAUAUGCCCCUUAAUUAUUAGAGGCAAUAACAACUUCUGCUUUAUCGGGGCCCUCAUUCUCCUCCUUUUCUAACUUGGAUAUAUUUGUUAGUCCCUGGGAUAUAGAUAACUUGUUUUCUCCUUGCUUCUCUAUUCUGCAUCAGGCUAUCCCAUGUCUAUGUAGAAAAAACCUUUGUCUCUCAUUUCUACUCUUGAUUCCCAAACUAAAAAUUGAACAAGUAAAGUGCUGAACCUUAUUCAGUAUUUGUCUUUCUUGGGUGGGGGAGUGCAGACUGGAAUACGCUAAUUGUGGGAAAGCUUUCUCCAUGGAUUCGUCCAGACUCAAAAGUGGAGAAGAUUCGCAGGAAUUCCG
rnacentral:sRNA from 1 species